UUUCAAUCAAUAUAUUUUGACUUUGACUUUAUAUAUUCAGGAAUGAGUUUAUAUACUCCUAUGAUGACUUUAUAUAUUCUGACAAUGACUUUAAAUAUUCCAAAGCUGACUUUAUAUAUUCAAGGUUUAACUUUAUAUAUUCGGGAAUGACUUUAUAUAUUCCAGCGCUGACUUUAUAUAUUCAAGGAAUGACUUUAUAUAUUCUGACGCUGACUUUAUAUAUUCAAGUUUUGACUUUAUAUAUUCGGGAAUGACUUUAAAUAUUCCGACGCUGACUUUAUAUAUUCAGAAAUGAUUUUAUAUAUUCCAAUGCGGACUUUAUAUAUUCAGGAAUGACUUUAUAUAUUCCGAAAAUCAUUGUAAUUGCCUGUUUGGCACCCCAUAGGGCACUGUAUAAUAGAUAUAUAAAAAAAACAGCCAAGGGGAUAGAUAUAUAGAUAGAUAGGAAGAAAAGGCACUAUAUGAUAGGCAGACAGGGAAGCUGCUAUAUAAUAAUAAAAUUA